AAUAAAACAUACCAUAUUCAGAUGCCUCCAGAGGAAACAAAAAUGGCUGACUGAAUAAACUUCAUUAACUAACAAACAUGUUGUGAGCAGCCAAAUGUAUUUGUAAUGUAACAGAUUUUUCAUGCUACUAUAUAUAUCCACUUGAUGAAGAAAUCAUUAUUAACCUCUUUCCGGUGGUCUCUUGUGACCAGUUUCUCUUCUUCAAAAAAUCGUAAAGUGCGGCGAAGUUGUUUCGAAUGCAGCUUCAAAGCCUUUGCCAGAUCUUCCUCUCUAACCCAUUGGCGCCUGAAAAAUGAAGUGUCAAAAUCGAAACCGACUUUGUGGCUUAAAAAUGAAAAGGAUGGCAGUUUACCAUAGAUAGCCUCUUUGGCAUAACUAGCAGUUUUGUUAGGCCUUACCUAGGAGAUAUUCCAUCUGCCAGAAACUAAACUACAAGCAGAUAAGUGGCAAACUAAUGAUCAUAGAAUUAUCAUGUUUCCCCUUGAUGAGUUAAGGAGACUAAAUCAUUUGAUGAUCAAAGGUAGCGCUGCAAAUGAACCAGCAUGUAGAUGAGUAGCUUAGACAGAG
rnacentral:lncRNA from 1 species